rnacentral:rRNA from 1 species
GGGAAUAUUGGACAAUGGGCGAAAGCCUGAUCCAGCAAUGCCGCGUGUGUGAAGAAGGUCUUCGGAUUGUAAAGCACUUUCGACGGGGACGAUGAUGACGGUACCCGUAGAAGAAGCCCCGGCUAACUUCGUGCCGG